ACCCCGAAGGUGGACCAGGUGGCCAUGGAGCAGUUCGGCCGGGCCAUGAAGCUGCUGCCCAUACACAUCCAGAUGGUCUUCACCCCGGCCCAGGCAGAAGAGAGGUGCCGUGUCUAAGCGAGUCCUGCCGACCCGCCUCCUGGGACCUCGGCCCCCCUGCAGGACGACAUCACCCCUCCUUCCAGCCAGAGGCCCCAGGAGGGGCUGAGGCCCCUC